UGUGGGUUGAGUUUUGCGAUGCCGCACAGCCCUAGGAUUUUUGCUUAGGAAACUGCAAUGUGAGGGCACGUCGGUAGGCACUUCAGAGCUGUUUUAAUAGAUUAUAUAUGGCAUAUGAAGAUGAUGGGUUAGUACCCUUGGAGACCACUGGGCUUGAUUUAACUGAUGGGGUGCCCCAGAGCGUGGGAGGGCUAGGUUCUGCGGACUCUGCCUGCAUCCGAAUGGUAAUUAUAAUGAGAACGGAAGAGUUUGGAUAGAUUAUAGACUGCCAACCAGGAAACUUUCAACAUCUGUGGAAAUAGGAGCUCCGGGGACUCAAGACCUCUUUGUAAAGGAGCCAGAUGUCUAAGAAGAAUGACUUGUUAUUUCAAACAAUAAUCUCCAUACUUACUGGAGGAAGGACGCCAGGCCACACCACAGGAUAAGCUCCAACCUCAACUUUCCCAAGGAGCAGCCAAUGGGCAAAUGACUCACAUUCUUCAUCUGGCUCCCAGUUUCCUGAUCUAGAGCAUCCACACUUGGGGAACCAGACUGCUUCCACGUGCAGCCAAAUGACACCAAGCUCCAUGAGGACAGAAGCUCCUUUGUUUGGAACCUUGCUCUCUGUAUCCCUUCAUCUGGCUGUUGAUUCAUAUCCUUUAAUAAACUGGUAAAUGUAA